rnacentral:lncRNA from 1 species
CUAGAGGAUAUUGAUUGCUAUUUGCUUUACAUUUACUAUUGUUGUAGUGUAUUUUAUGCGUAUUAUCUUUUAAAUAACUAUAGAGUAUCUUUGCCUUGUUCUAUGCAUUUCAAGAAAUAUAUAUUCAGUGAACAUGUAGCACCAGGAGGAGCUACAUUCAUUUUCUCCAUCUCCGUUUGGUAUUUCCCGUUGUUUCCUUUCGACAUCCCGUUUCCUUCACUCUUCAUUAUGAUUAUGGCUAUAAAAAAAGAGAAGUGGACAGCUGAGUGGGGAGUAUUUCUAUGUGGAAGCAAAGGACCAGAAAUCAAGUUGCGUAAUAUGUACCAAAAGUGUUGCAGUUUUGAAAGAGUACAAUCUUCGUCGUCACAAUGAAGCAAAAGAUUUCUGGAACGUUACACUCUGAAAAUUAUCAUGAAAUGUGGUUUAGAAACUCAAAGAAGCUUCUUCACGAGAAAGUUUGCUGAAAAUGAUUCUGUCACUGUUACAAGUUACAAAACAGAAUGAUCAAGCAUCCCGCACUCGUGAUUUUACAAUCGUGUAGACAUUAUUAUUAUAUUUUCAAAAGAUUGAAAAUGAUUACAAAUUCCAGCAGUUUCGACAAUGAUUUUACCUAAGAAAUUUAGAAAACUUAAAAUGGACUGUAUCUAUAGUUGUUAUGGUUUCCUGUUAUGACUGGAUAAUUUGAGUCUUUGUUGUUACUUUUACACACUUUUUAUGACGUCAUAAAAAGUAAAUAAAGAGAAAUGCGAGUAUGUGUAAAAAGCGGAAGCGAGACAUAUGGUAUAAUUGAUGAAAGUUACGGUCUUCCUACGGUCCAUAAGUUAUGGACUAUGGGUUUGAAGAAAAUAAUAUCACGUGAUUCUGCUAUAGAAAUGAGAAGCUUCUAUAUUUCAAAUUACACUAGAACAAUUAAUAUAAAAAGUAGUGGAGAAUUUCAAA